AGUACAUUCUCUUUGGACCUGUCAUUGUCAGCGCUAUCAGUCCACUGGGUGUCCUCAAAUUUCGCCUCCUCCUCCAUAUAAAGCCCAACUUAUCACCCGCUCCACUACUACUACCACUACUAAACGACCUUUUCCUUCCUUCUUCCUCACCCCUCAUUAUUCUCUCUCACACUCUCUCUCUCUUCUAUUUUCUCUGCCGUCGCUUCUUCCUGUAUGGGUGGAAGAGAAAAGGUUGCGAAGCAGAAAGCAACUCUGAAAAUUCCGCGAGGUGAUUUUUUCCCAAUUAACUUGUAUGGCUCCACCAACGCCAGAGCCCGCAUGCCAAACCUUGUAAAAAGUGCAAUGAGGGGGCAAAAGCAAAUCUUUCUCACUUGGAGCUCACAAUUGGAGAUGGACGCCUGUUCUUCUCCAUCCAGCUCCAUCUUGACGGUUGCUCCUUCAUUCUAAUUGGGCGCUAUCCUACCUGAGCUUUUCCACAGCCCCGCCACUUCUUCAAUGUUUCGCCUUUUUCUUUUUUUUUUUUGACUUGUUGCCUUUUGUUUUUCUUUUAAACUGCUUCUUCUUGACCUUGUAAGACCUUUUCUUGACCUUGUAAGACCCUUCGUCCCCUAUUUUGCCUUUGUUUUUUGCCUCCUCCUGAACCUUAUAUCAAGAUUUUCUGAUACGAGGUUUGGACGCGGCGUUUCUUCGUUCCCGCCCAACUCACGUUCUCCUUCCUUGUCUAUCCCUCCUGAGCUAUCGAACAAAAUUUGGCAUGGCAUCUCACUUUACAAAUGGCUUGCCUACUACAAGCAAGAUCACUUAAUCAGCACGUUGUGAUCACAAGAGUAAUACCGGGCAUUUCGAUUUUCAAAUUUUGAUUAGGUUCUUCCUUCUCCUUCCUGUAAUCAAAAUUAUGGAUAAGAAAUUUGCAUUAGCACAAGUUUCCUAUGAUGAUGUAAAAGGGUACUCACAAUCCAUAUAGUACAUUAUAUAUGUAUAUAUAAUGACUACUGUCGAUCUGCUUAAAAGCCAUAUAUCCUAGUUAAUUUCAAUC